UCUACAGGUAAGGUCAGGUGGAAGUGUGUUCUUAGAGAAUGCAUGCAUCUCUAAGUUGAUAAAGACUGGUAGCUGUCUAGGGGAUGACCCACCACCAUGGGUAUUAAAAAGAGUCAAAACUUAUUUGAAGCAUGAUAUGAUAUUCAUUCCAAUAAACAUUGAUGACAUUCAUUGGUACGUAGCAGUUAUAAAUGCCAGAUUAAGAUGUAUCCAGGUGCUCGACUCGCUAGGCAGUGGAAUGCACCGCAAAGAUCUCGCUGCUAUGCUACAAGGACUGGAAAAUGUUUUCACAUAUGCAUCGACGUGCAUGGAACUAAGAUCUGAUAAAUGGAAGGACGUAAACAUCAAAAAAUGGAAAAUAGAAGAGUGUAUUAAGAGCAGCCUACAGACAGAUGGGUACACCUCCUAGCUCACUUUUUGCAUCAGAUGGGAAAUAGAAGAGUGUUUUCACAUACCAAUUUUUUAUGAAAACCUUUCAUAAUAAUAUGUAGUACUACCUAUUAGGACAGA